rnacentral:sRNA from 1 species
UUGCAAAGCCUGGGAUGCUGAUGUCUUCUGUUUUCCCCACAGAAUAGGUACAGCAUGAGCAAUGGCAGCACAAGGGCCCCAAAAUGCCCUGCCACUUUAUCCUCUAUUGUGAUUCUGCAGUCAGUUAUGGCAAAGGAUAGUUCCAUUUCUAUGACCUAUUCAAAUCUUUGGCCAAC